ACACUGCCGAGGAGUCCCACAAUAGGACGAAAUGGNGCCCGUCCGGUGU
rnacentral:hammerhead_ribozyme from 1 species